AACAGGAACUUCAGGUCAGUUUUGGGAAAUUCUUUAUGCUCUAAUCAUUUGAUAUUUGGGGAUACGUUUUCUCGCUGAAACCUCCCUCCUGUUAAAAAUUGACCCCCUGCCUUUUAGUGUUUCCCCAUAAUUCAUAUAAUAAUUAUACACAAGAAACAACAACAUUACCAAUUGAAGCAUUGGUUUAAUUGUAAACGGUCUUUUUCUGCAGACUCUUGUUGACAGCACAUUGAUAGAAAGCGAUAUGGGCGAUGAGCUUGCGAUCUCAGAUGGACUUCAGUCGAAACAGAACAAGCUAGCUUACAUGCCGAUUGAAUCUGACAACUGUGCUUCACCAUAUCAAAUAUUCAAGAUCAUCCGUGAAGCUUAGAAUGUUCUAGGUUCUAUAUGAUUGGCUUCCUCUUGUUCUGUUGUUCAUAACUAUA
rnacentral:lncRNA from 1 species